CCUACGGGUGGCAGCAGUGGGGGAUAUUGCACAAUGGGGGGAACCCUGAUGCAGCGACGCCGCGUGGGUGAAGAAGCGCCUCGGCGCGUAAAGCUCUGUUAGCAGGGAAGAAAAUGACGGUAUCUGUAGAAGAAGCCCCGGCUAACAACGUGACAGCAGCCGCGGUAAUACGCAGGGGGCAGGCGUUAUCCGGAUUUACUGGGUGUAAAGGGGGCGCAGGCGGCGAUGCAAGCCAGGAGUGAAAGCCCGGGGCCCAACCGCGGGACUGCACUUGAAACUGGGUGGCUUGAGUGCAGGAGGGGCAGGCGGAAUGCGUGGUGUAGCGGUGAAAUGCGGAGAUAUCAGGAGGAACACCGGUGGCGAAGGCGGCCUGCUGGACUGCAACUGACGUUGAGGCGCGAAAGCGUGGGGAGCAAACAGGAUUAGAUACCCGAGUAGUC
rnacentral:rRNA from 1 species